rnacentral:rRNA from 1 species
AGUGAACGCUGGCGGUAGGCCUAACACAUGCAAGUCGAACGGCAGCACAGUAAGAGCUUGCUCUUACGGGUGGCGAGUGGCGGACGGGUGAGGAAUACAUCGGAAUCUACUUUUUCGUGGGGGAUAACGUAGGGAAACUUACGCUAAUACCGCAUACGACCUACGGGUGAAAGCAGGGGAUCUUCGGACCUUGCGCGAUUGAAUGAGCCGAUGUCGGAUUAGCUAGUUGGCGGGGUAAAGGCCCACCAAGGCGACGAUCCGUAGCUGGUCUGAGAGGAUGAUUAGCCACACUGGAACUGAGACACGGUCCAGACUCCUACGGGAGGCAGCAGUGGGGAAUAUUGGACAAUGGGCGCAAGCCUGAUCCAGCCAUACCGCGUGGGUGAAGAAGGCCUUCGGGUUGUAAAGCCCUUUCGUUGGGAAAGAAAAGCAGCAGGUUAAUACCCCGCUGUUCUGACGGUACCCAAAGAAUAAGCACCGGCUAACUUCGUG